rnacentral:rRNA from 1 species
CCUACGGGAGGCUGCAGUGGGGAAUAUUGCUCAAUGGGCGCAAGCCUGAAGCAGCCAAGCCGCGUGGAGGAUGAAGGUUCUCGGGUUGUUAACCACUUUUGAUAGAGAAGAUAAUGGAGGUAUUUAUCCCUUCAGCUAUGGAUAAUUCCGGUCCAGCAGCCGCGGUAAUACGGCGGGUGCCAGCGUUACUCGGAAUUACUGGGCGUAAAGCGGACGUAGGCGGGUUAUCAAGUCAGAUGUGAAAUCCUUUGGCUCAACCAUAGAACUGCAUUUGAAACUGGCAGUCUGGAGUAGGGUUGAGGUAGGUGGAAUUCGUGGUGUAGGGGUGAAAUGCGUAGAGAUCAAGAAGAAUACCGAUUGCGAAGGCGGCCUGCUAGAA